CAGGGAUUGCCUCAGUAACGGCGAGUGAAGCGGCAACAGCUCAAAUUUGAAAGCUGGUACUUUUAGUGCCCGCGUUGUAAUUUGUAGAGGAUGUUUCGGGUGCGGUGCCGGUCUAAGUUCUUUGGAACAAGACGUCAUAGAGGGUGAGAAUCCCGUAUGUGACUGGUUGCCUGUGCCCAUGUGAAACUCCUUCGACGAGUCGAGUAGUUUGGGAAUGCUGCUCAAAAUGGGAGGUGUAUUUCUUCUAAAGCUAAAUAUUGGCCAGAGACCGAUAGCGCACAAGUAGAGUGAUCGAAAGAUGAAAAGCACUUUGGAAAGAGAGUUAAACAGUACGUGAAAUUGUUGAAAGGGAAGCGCUUGCAAUCAGACUUGCGCGGCGUCGAUCAGCCUGGGUUCUCCCUGGUGUACUCGGCGUCGCUCAGGCCAGCAUCAGUUUCGGCGGUGGGAUAAAGGCUUAGGGAACGUGGGUUGCUUCGGUGACCGUUAUAGCCCUAGGUGCAAUGCCGCCUGUCGGGACUGAGGACCGCGCUUCGGCUAGGAUGCUGGCGUAAUGGUUGUAAGCGACCCGUCUUGAAACACGGACCAAGGAGUCUAACAUCUAUGCGAGUGUUUGGGUGUCAAACCCAUACGCGUAAUGAAAGUGAACGGAGGUGAGAACCCUUAAGGGUGCAUCAUCGACCGAUCCUGAUGUCUUCGGAUGGAUUUGAGUAAGAGCAUAGCUGUUGGGACCCGAAAGAUGGUGAACUAUGCCUGAAUAGGGUGAAGCCAGGGGAAACCCUGGUGGAGGCUCGCAGAGGUUCUGACGUGCAAAUCGAUCUUCAAAUUUGGGUAUAGGGGCGAAAGACUAAUCGAACCAUUGGACCUACCUUCUAGGUGGUUGAGAGGCCCGCGGGCCUAGUCGCUUAUGCGGCAAUACUGUAAAAUUGCGGGGACCGUUCUACAGAUGCAGGCUACCACCACAAUCUCGAAAGAGCUUGUCACGGUCACAAGGCCUUUGCAGCUGAACCGAUCCGCAACCCUCGCCUACCGUCUCACGACCACGGCGCGGGCUCAUCGACUAGAUGGCAGUAGGCAUUGUACAGUGUCUAAGGUAUAGUCAGACCGCCGCUUGCCAAGCGGGGGAUGCUAUUCGCUAGUAGCUGGUUCACGCCGAAGUUUCCCUCAGGAUAGCAGUGUUGUAUUCAGUUUUAUGAGGUAAAGCGAAUGAUUAGAGGCCUUGGGGUUGAAACAACCUUAACCUAUUCUCAAACUUUAAAUAUGUAAGAAGU
rnacentral:rRNA from 1 species